AAAGUACUCCCUCCGUUCCAAAAUUCUUAUUUUAGAUUUGUCUAGAUACGGAUGUAUCUAAUACUAAAACGUGACGUGACACAUCCGUAUUUAGACAAAUCUAAGACAAGAAUUUUGAUACGGAGGGAGUAUGAA
rfam:Triticum aestivum genome assembly, contig: Triticum_aestivum_CS42_TGACv1_scaffold_569184_7AS